GAUGAAGAACGUAGCGAAAUGCGAUAAGUAAUGUGAAUUGCAGAAUUCAGUGAAUCAUCGAAUCUUUGAACGCACAAUGCGCCCGCCAGUAUUCUGGCGGGCAUGCCUGUUCGAGCGUCAUUUCAACCAUCAAGCCCUGCUUGCGUUGGGGUCCUGCGGCUGCCCGCAGGCCCUGAAAACCAGUGGCGGGCUCGCUAGUCACACCGAGCGCAGUAAUACAUCUCGCUUUGGGCGUGCGGCGGGUUCUUGCCGUUAAACACCCCCUUUUUACCAAGGUUGACCUCGGAUCAGGUAGGAAUACCCGCUGAACUUAAGCAUAUCAAUAAGCGGAGGA
rnacentral:misc_RNA from 1 species